GCAUCAGAGCUUUAUGUCCACUCAGUAAGCACUUCAGACUAAGAUUCUUACUGUUGUCAAUGAUGCGACAACAAAAAUUGACAUAUCUAUCAAUGAACAAGCAACAGUUACGUAUCAAUUAAGGAUCCCUCAAUACUCGGGAUUUUCGGAUCAAGUGAAAUGGAAGCCUAGUUCAUGGAAUGUGCCAAAACAGGUGAAGUGUAGAAGCUCUCACCUGUCAAGGAACCAUUCAAUCUAAAAGCUCAAGUUUGUAGAUGAGUGCCCUAAGGAUAAUUCUAUAUCUCUCUGUUAUCACCUAUCUUUAGAGCAUACUGCGCUUUUUCCCUUUUCUUGCAUAUGGAAACCAAAGUU
rnacentral:misc_RNA from 1 species